rnacentral:rRNA from 1 species
AUUGAACGCUGGCGGCAGGCCUAACACAUGCAAGUCGAGCGAGCGGCGGAAGGGUGAGUAAUGUCUGGGAAACUGCCUGAUGGAGGGGGAUAACUACUGGAAACGGUAGCGAAUACCGCAUACCAUCGGAUGUUCGCAGAUGGGAUUAGCUAGUAGGUGGGGUAAAGGCUCACCUAGGCGACGAUCCAUAGCUGGGCUGAGAGUUUGACCAGCCACACUGGAACUGAGACACGGUCUAGACUCCUACGGGAGGCAGCAGUGGGGAAUAUUGCACAAUGGGCGCAAGCCUGAUGCAGCCAUGCCGCGUGUAUGAAGAAGGCCUUCGGGUUGUAAAGUACUUUCAGCGGGGAGGUGUUACCCGCAGAAGAAGCACCGGCUAACUCCGUGCCAGCAGCCGCGGUAAUUC